CAGUCGAGGGGCAGCAUGGUCUUAGCUUGCUAAGGCCGACGGCGACCGGCGCACCUUUAAGUAACACGUAUCCAACCUGCCGUCUACUCUUGGGUACUUUUCUGAAAGGAAGAUUAAUACAAGAUGGCAUCAUGAGUCCGCAUGUUCACAUGAUUAAAGGUAUUCCGGUAGACGAUGGGGAUGCGUUCCAUUAGAUAGUAGGCGGGGUAACGGCCCACCUAGUCUUCGAUGGAUAGGGGUUCUGAGAGGAAGGUCCCCCACAUUGGAACUGAGACACGGUCCAAACUCCUACGGGAGGCAGUAGUGAGGAAUAUUGGUCAAUGGGCGAGAGCCUGAACCAGCCAAGUAGCGUGAAGGAUGACUGCCCUAUGGGUUGUAAACUUCUUUUAUAAAGGAAUAAAGUCGGGUAUGGAUACCCGUUUGCAUGUACUUUAUGAAUAAGGAUCGGCUAACUCCGUGCCAGCAGCCGCGGUAAUACGGAGGAUCCGAGCGUUAUCCGGAUUUAUUGGGUUUAAAGGGAGCGUAGAUGGAUGUUUAAGUCAGUUGUGAAAGUUUGCGGCUCAACCGUAAAAUUGCAGUUGAUACUGGAUAUCUUGAGUGCAGUUGAGGCAGGCGGAAUUCGUGGUGUAGCGGUGAAAUGCUUAGAUAUCACGAGGAACUCCGAUUGCGAAGGCAGCCUGCUAAGCUGCAACUGACAUUGAGGCUCGAAAGUGUGGGUAUCAAACAGGAUUAGAUACCCUGGUAGUCCACACGGUAAACGAUGAAUAC
rnacentral:rRNA from 1 species